AUGGAAAUGAUGAUUAUUUCCCCAAAUGAUCGGUACUGAAUAAAAUGAGUGAUCUCUCUCUUCAGAGAUUACUAGCCAGAAAGCUGAUCCAU
rfam:Populus trichocarpa isolate Nisqually-1 chromosome 7, whole genome shotgun sequence.